UUCUGUGGUAUAUUUUUUUUGUUAUCAGUCAUCACUCCUUCGACAAUCAAAGACGGAGUUAUCUUCUAAGCUAAUAGAUGCUUAUUUACUAAGUAAUUAAAUUACAAAUUAGAAAAUUAAUUAAGUCUUAAUGUUUGUAAUUUUCUUUAGAUGUUUUUUAACUUAGGAAAAAAAUGUGUUAUGUCCGAGAUAUUUAAAAAAAAGCCAAUUUUGUUACGAUUACAUGCACGGGUCUGGUAAUAGUGGAUUUUCAAAUUUGCCUUCCUCUCUUCCAUAGAGAGUGAUGGUUAAUUAGUUUUCUGAAGACCAUAAGGCUGAUGAACUAGAGCGUUGAUACACAAGAUAAGUAAGUAGAGUAUUUUCGAUGAAAAUCUAUUUUUGAGAAUGAAUUUUUUGCUUUUAUCACGGAAAAGAAUAAUUUCAGAAGAUUAUGAUUCGGAUUUGGAUUAUUGGCUAGAGACAAAAAUAAGUUUGAAAGGUGAAUGGACGGGUGGAGAUUGGUGGGAGAACAUAAGAGAAGAUUUUAUAUCAAUCUUUAAACCUGUUUGUAAAGGUCUAAACAUGUUACAGUUAAAAGGUGAAUACCACGGGAAUUUAAAUUUGAAGGAUGGUAUUAAGGUUCAAAUAUGUAAUGGACAGAGACGUAAAUUCUAACAGAGAUAAAAGAGUAAGACAAAAAUAAAAAAAAAACAGCUAUCGUCUGAUGUCACGAUCUUACUAAAUAUUAUUAAUAAGGUUUUAAAUUUUCCAUUUAAAGAAUGCACUCUAUACAUAAAAAAAGUUGAUGAUUUAUGUUUGAAUCAAUUGAGAGUCUAUUCGAGGUAUUUUUUAUUGUUUAUUUUUUUUAAUUAGUUAACAUGAUGAGAAAUCUUCUUAACUAAAAAUAAUUUCAAUUUAGUGACACCGACUUUAGAAUAAAGUGGGCUCUCGAUCCGGUUUUAUUUUGGGAUGUGAAUCGAAGAAUAAGGUUUUUGUUAGCUGUUUAUUGGGCCUUUUAUCAACCAUCACCGGUUUCGGAGUAUCAUACUCUUGGCAAUGCUACAACUACAAACUGUAUCAAGCACCCAAAGUACCACGAUGAAAAAGGAAGCACCUGGAUUGAAUCCAUAUGGAGGUCAUUAGCAAAUCAAAUCGGCCUAUAGGAUAUGUGAAAAAAGGUCCAUAACUCCUCUCACUACCAAAAUGAAGCUGGUCUACUCCUUUGGUUAUUCAAGAAAAUAAACAAAGCCCAAGACUAGCAUAAGCUUCAGCAACUUAAAGAGCCAAAGCUCCUCCAUGUACCACCGUUCAGCAAUUACAUGGUUAUGUAUAAAAGCAAUAAGAGGACAAUUCGACCAUGCAAGGACAAGUGUGACUCUGUGAAAGCAAAAAGGACACAGAGACAUCUCCACUAUCCCAAAGACAUCAGCAGAGCAACAUUCGGCUAGUGGGUGAGCAAAACACAAAUUUGCAAAUAGCAGUAGCAGCAGGGAAAUGGAGAAAAUGAAAAAAGAGUGCAUGCCUAGGAAGAAAGCAAAACAAUGGACCACAGAGUGGACAGGCUCCUCAUCCAGCAAGAGUAGUGGAGCAUGAUGAAGAAGGACUGUUUGCUAGUUGUGACAGCUCUAACGGGCAGCAAGGACAAGCAAAAGGAAGAAGCAACAAUGAAGGCAAGCUGAAGACAUAUAAGGAGCUUCACUACAUCAAUUUCAAAGCAAGAAAAAGAGAGAACACACACAGAGCAUCAUCACAAACAUGAAGCUGAAAUCUUUUUUUUCUACUCAAGCUUAAUUUAUGAUUUUCUUUGUUAUGGCUGUCUUAUGUCAUUUUCUGUUUUGAAAAAAGGCCGAACUUGUGAGGUUGAAAAGCCAAGAGAGUUGCAUAAGAGCUACUGAUUUCUGAUGUGAUUGAGUUGUUGAACUAGGAUUAGUUUCUCUUGUCAAGUUGGGUUAGCACUUGGUGAGUUUUGAAUCUGUUAGGAUUCCCCUUCCAAGUUGAGAAAGCACUUGGAGUAGAUACUAGUUGAAUUAGGAAGUAAUUCAAUACUAAUAGUAUUGGUGAAUGUAAUCAGUGGAUUAUAGUGGAAAUUCCACCAUGGUUUGUGGUGGAGACUGGAUGUAGGAUUCAUUGCACAAAGAAUUCGAACCAGGAUAUAUGUUGGUCUCUUUCUCCUUUUCCCUACUCUUUAUUUGUUCUACACACGAGAUAAAAUGAAAUAAUCUCCUGCAAUUUAAGCUGCUGUGAAAACAAAGUUUGAAUUUUAAGGUUUUAAGCUAACUUGAUUCAAUCCCCUUUUCAAAUUCAAGUAAAAAGUUGAUAAUGGUGAUUAUUAUAGGAUAUUUUAAUUAGAAAAAUGAUAUUGCCACUCCUAUUUUUAGUAAUGUCAUUUCACACAUGAUGACACAUGAUUUUUUUGCACUGUAUAUUUGUAUAAAUUUAUAUAACCCAAAUCUAGCAAAAUAUAUCUUGAAUCCCGACGAGGUCUUGAAUACCCCUUUGAAUAUGGUGACUAAUCUCAAGCAUGGUCUAAGUGAAAUUGAGUUUGGCUCUCAAUUUGAGUGGUCUUUUCUUUUUGCUUAUGUUUUAUGUACAUUUUAUGA